rnacentral:rRNA from 1 species
GUUGUCCGGAAUUACUGGGCGUAAAGAGCUCGUAGGUGGUUUGUCGUGUUGUUCGUGAAAUCUCACGGCUUAACUGUGAGCGUGCGGGCGAUACGGGCAGACUUGAGUACUGCAGGGGAGACUGGAAUUCCUGGUGUAGCGGUGGAAUGCGCAGAUAUCAGGAGGAACACCGGUGGCGAAGGCGGGUCUCUGGGCAGUAACUGACGCUGAGGAGCGAAAGCGUGGGGAGCGAACAGGAUUAGAUACCCUGGUAGUCCACGCCGUAAACGGUGGGUACUAGGUGUGGGUUUCCUUCCUUGGGAUCCGUGCCGUAGCUAACGCAUUAAGUACCCCGCCUGGGGAGUACGGCCGCGAGGCUAAAACUCAAAGAAAUUGACGGGGGCCCGCACAAGCGGCGGAGCAUGUGGAUUAAUUCGAUGCAACGCGAAGAACCUUACCUGGGUUUGACAUGCACAGGACGCCGGCAGAGAUGUCGGUUCCCUUGUGGCCUGUGUGCAGGUGGUGCAUGGCUGUCGUCAGCUCGUGUCGUGAGAUGUUGGGUUAAGUCCCGCAACGAGCGCAACCCUUGUCUCAUGUUGCCAGCGGGUAAUGCCGGGGACUCGUGAGAGACUGCCGGGGUCAACUCGGAGGAAGGUGGGGAUGACGUCAAGUCAUCAUGCCCCUUAUGUCCAGGGCUUCACACAUGCUACAAUGGCCGGUACAAAGGGCUGCGAUGCCGCGAGGUUAAGCGAAUCCUUUUAAAGCCGGUCUCAGUUCGGAUCGGGGUCUGCAACUCGACCCCGUGAAGUCGGAGUCGCUAGUAAU